AAGAAAUUCACUAAUAGCUAAAAUAUGACACAUAUCCUUAUGACUCAUUUCUUUCCGUAAAUGUGUCUCUGGAAAUGCUUGAUUAAAGAAAGAGCUUUAAGAGAAGACAAGCAGAACCCUGACAUGGCUCAGAUUUUUCAGGGGUGCCGGGCUGUCUGGGAACUCUAUGAUUCCAACCCAGGGCUUAAUCAAAUAAGUGAUAAUCUGCCAGAAAAUCUGCAAGUUUACAACUUUUCUUGACCCUGUUGGAAAGCUGAGGUAGCAACCAACCAACUUGUCUAAGGAAAGACAGGAACAUCCAAAAAUGAUGGGCCGUGAGCACUUGCAUGGCUAGGGCAGGUGCUUCUCGGUGCUAUAUAAGCUGGUUCUUCACUGGGCUGCACCACCUGCCCACAAACACUGGGGGGAAGCGUGAAAAUGGUGUGUCAUGGCCAAAGAACACUGGAUUCAGGGAGUCACCUCUGUUAUGCAAGCCUGCUCUUGGUCUGAGGGAAGAUGUCACCUCACCCCUCAGGCUCUCCCUGCAAACGCAACCCUGAGGAGUGGCCGGGGUAAGUGGGUGAGGGCCUUGCACUGCCGGCACAUCCAGUAAGAGCUCACAGGGACCCACAUGGCGGAUCGCCUCUCCCAACCGGGUCAAGAGCCAGUCUCAGGAGCCAGGCCAGAGAGUUCCUCCACCGAGUAGGGAAGAUCCCAUUUCUGCCCAAGGGCUUGCUGUUGAGGACAGGAGGCUGUGAAACGGUAGAAGUGAAAGGUUGGAACCUGCCCCUUCUGGUCCUAAGGGAUUAUAGGAGGUGGUAAGAGGAAGCAGGAAGGGAGGAGUGAGAUGGGCUUGUUCAAUGUGGAGGUAGGGACUGGCUUAGAUGUGACCAGUGCCAAGUUCAGAAUGACAAGGGCAUCAUUAAGGCUCUGGGAGGGUUAUCCCCUGAGAUGCUACCCCGACACAGACCUGGGGCCAUAAGAGCCAAGCAGACUCAGUGGUGCAUCAGAAGUUCGCUUUUCAGAACUGCUCUUUGUGCCAUUGUGGUGUGGCUCAGCCCCAGAAAAUCUUGCAGUGACCCAGAGAGUUGUAGUGGCCCUAAUUUAUGUGCCUCCCAGAUUCCUUUGGCUAUGUGCUCCUGGGCCCAGUUAUGGGGCUGCUGCCAGCCACACUGGAUCCUUUCCAUCCUCUGCCACUCUUUACUCAUUGUAGACACCUUGGGCCAAUAACUGUGACCAGUUGGCCAGCUCAGCCUGCAGCAGGAUUGCCUGAGCGUGUAACUAUAGCCCAGGCUGUGCUAAUGACUUGCUGUUUUAACUGUCUGAAAUGUAAGCCCUAUGGGAACUAUUGCAGCUGAAACCAGAACCCCUUGAUUUUCAAGUUCAGAUACAUUGUGAUUUGACAGGACUUUGGCUUCUCUUCGUGCUGCAUGGAGGGACGGGGAACACAAGCAGGAAGUGCAGAAGAGUUUCACUGAGGUGAAGUUUGAACAGGGAGAGAUGGGAACCAGGAAGAAGCCAGCAGAUACAUUCCCUACUCUUCCUCUUCUUCUCUCUACCCUACCUCCCGCCUUCUGCUUCUUCCAAGGCUCAGGGAUUCUGAGUAGCCUCUCCAGAGAUGUCCACACGCCUGAGCAGCCAGCGGUGUUUCCCUGUGCAUCCUCUUGUUUUGCAUUUCCUUGUCCUCUACUGUGGGUACCUUUUCCUCUUUGACUUCCCUGCAAUUGCUCCCCCUCCCAUCGCUCUACCAAUAAUACACUGGCUUUUACAUUUUAACACAGACACUUUUCCUAGGGACCCCAGGCUCAAGGCAGCACAUGUGGAGGUUAGUUAAGAGCUUGUCUGGGGACCUUGUCAAAGAGGAGCAUAGAGAUGGGGCAGGGCAGCCUUCAGUUUGGGGCUUUAGAGGUGGGCAGGAAGGGGUGUCAGUUAGACCCCAUUGUUUGUGAGUGCCUGGGUGGGGGCAGGUUACCAGACCCUGAAAAAAACCAAGACAAGUGACAGCCUGAGAAUGACAACGUGAGCAGCCACUGGAUGGUCCAGGAACACUUCCUGCAAUGCCGAUUUUAAUAACCCCUUCUCCCCAAAGCCUCAGAGACAGAGUGUGGCCUUCAUAUGCCCAGACACCAACACGAGCGACGGAAUGGAGAUGAGACAAAAAUCAGAGAAAGAGAAGAACCAAAAUGGCGUAGAUGAUAGAGGCUCUGUUCAUCCCUCUGGCAACAAAAUCAAAGUAGUGAUGGAAACAAGGAGCAGCAGCAAGGAAAAAUCACUUGGGAUCUUGAUGAACAAACCAUACAACUAAGGAGAAAUCCAAGAAAGCACCCUGCAAUAGCAGACAGUAGGAGGGGGCAAGGAUGCGGGGCUGUCUGGUCUCAAGUGGCUGAGAGGAGGCUGCAGCAGCAGCAGACACCUCUUAAAGGGGCCGCGUCCACAAGCAGAUGUUCGCAGUGACACACCUGCUUGCUCUGAGCACCAGUGCCGACUGGGCUACACAUAGGGGGCACCAGGGACUUACAGGGAGACAUUGUUGGACUGAGGGCCGAGGCGAGACUCACUCUAUACAGAAGUGCUGGCAGCAUCCAUUAUUCCCUGUUAAGCCCUCCCCUCUCCCAGUGCCCGGACACAGAGCCGCAAUGUCAUCAGACUGGAUAACAGAGGUCGCUCUGCCCAGAGGAUUCCCUGAAACCCCUCCUCGCCCAACUCGCGGCCCAACCCAAGCCACAUCCAGGUGUAUCCUCAAAGAGUCAGGUGCUCCUUGCUGAGCAGUGCCUAGACUCACACUGGAGGCAGCUGGCCUCGGUUUCUGGUUGGU